AGUAUGUUUGUCCACGAUAGGCCCCGGAAUCUUAUUGUAUUCAAACAACGU
rfam:Lactobacillus sp. wkB8, complete genome.